ensembl:snRNA U1 U1 spliceosomal RNA
AUACUUACUUGGCAGGGGAGAUACCAUGAUCCCGAAGGUGGUUUUCCCAGGGUGAGGCUCAUCCACUGCACUGCGGGUGUGCUGACCCCUGCGAUUUCCCCAAAUGCGGGAAACUCGACUGCAUCAUUUGUGGUAGUGGGGGACUGUGUUCGCGCUCUCCCCUG